rnacentral:rRNA from 1 species
ACGAACGCUGGCGGCAUGCCUAACACAUGCAAGUCGAACGCGACCUUCGGGUCUAGUGGCGCACGGGUGCGUAACGCGUGGGAAUCUACCCUCAGGUUCGGAAUAACUCAGAGAAAUUUGAGCUAAUACCGGAUGAUGACGUAAGUCCAAAGAUUUAUCGCCUGAGGAUGAGCCCGCUUAGGAUUAGGUAGUUGGUGAGGUAAAGGCUCACCAAGCCGACGAUCCUUAGCUGGUCUGAGAGGAUGAUCAGCCACACUGGGACUGAGACACGGCCCAGACUCCUACGGGAGGCAGCAGUGGGGAAUAUUGGACAAUGGGCGAAAGCCUGAUCCAGCAAUGCCGCGUGAGUGAUGAAGGCCUUAGGGUUGUAAAGCUCUUUUACCCGGGAUGAUAAUGACAGUACCGGGAGAAUAAGCUCCGGCUAACUCCGUG